GUAAAUUUUAUACAAGUUGUCGGCGGAUCCAUGGAAGAAAGCUCAUCUGUCGUUGUUUGUAGGCGCAGCACCAUUAAGAUUCACAUGGAAAUUGAUAAAUACCCUAAAUUAGGGUUUUGAUAUGUAUAUGAGAAUCUUGAUGAUGCUGCAUCAACAAUCGACGGCUACAAAUACCUAAAGCUUGAGAAAGAAACUUGAAGAUAUUGAUUGAAGUCUGGAUCGAUCUUUGGUAAAUCUCUCUCUUGAUUAGUUUUAAGAAUCACUUUUUUUUUUUCUGUGUUUGAACAUGUUUACAUAUAUCAUCUAUGUCUCAAUAUAUAUAUUUUCUUAAUCUAGGGUCAAU
rnacentral:precursor_RNA from 1 species